rnacentral:tRNA from 1 species
GGGGGUAUAGCUCAGUGGUAGAGCAUCCGACUGCAGAUUGGAAUGUCCCUGGAUCAAACCCGGGUGCUCCCU